AUACGGAGGGUGCAAACGUUGCUCGGAAUCAUUGGGCGUAAAGCGCACGUAGGCGGCUUGAUAAGUCGAAUGUGAAAGCCCUCGGCUUAACCGGGGAAGUGCAUACGAAACUGUCAGGCUUGAGUAUGGGAGAGGAUUGCGGAAUUCCCGGUGUAGAGGUGAAAUUCGUAGAUAUCGGGAGGAACACCAGCGGCGAAGGCGGCAAUCUGGACCAAUACUGACGCUGAGGUGCGAAAGCGUGGGGAGCAAACAGGAUUAGAAACCCUAGUAGUCC
rnacentral:rRNA from 1 species